rnacentral:rRNA from 1 species
UUCUUCCUACGGGGCGCAGCAGUAGGGAAUCUUCCACAAUGGGCGAAAGCCUGAUGGAGCAACGCCGCGUGGGUGAUGAAGGCCUUCGGAUCGUAAAACCCUGUUGUUAGAGAAGAAAGUGCGUGAGAGUAACUGUUCACGUUUCGACGGUAUCUAACCAGAAAGCCACGGCUAACUACGUGCCAGCAGCCGCGGUAAUACGUAGGUGGCAAGCGUUAUCCGGAUUUAUUGGGCGUAAAGGGAACGCAGGCGGUUUUUUAAGUCUGAUGUGAAAG